UACGUAGGUGGCAAGCGUUAUCCGGAAUUACUGGGCGUAAAGCGCACGCAGGCGGUCUUUUACGUUUGACGUGAAAGCUCCCGGCUUAACUGGGAGAGGUCGUUGAAGACUGGAAGACUUGAGGCAAUGAGAGGGGUGUAGAAUUCCCGGUGUAGUGGUGGAAUGCGUAGAUAUCGGGGGGAAUACCAGUGGCGAAAGCGGCACCCUAGCAUUAGCCUGACGCUCAUGUGCGAAAGCGUGGGGAGCGAACGGG
rnacentral:rRNA from 1 species